rnacentral:rRNA from 1 species
CCCUUAGAUGUUCUGGGCUGCAUGCGCGCUACACUGAAGCUAUCAACACGUCUUCCCUCCCUGAGAAGGGCGGGUAACCUUUUGAAUCAGCUUCGUGGUAGGGAUCGGGGCUUGCAAUUGUUCCCCGUGAACCAGGAAUUCCUAGUAGACGCGAGUCAUAAGCUCGCAUCGAUUAAGUCCCUGCCCUUUGUACACACCGCCCGUCGCUACUACCGAUUGAACGUUUUAGUGAGGCAUUUGGACCGACGCAUCUCAGUUUAACCGCUGGUUUGUGUUGGAAAGACUUCCAAACUUGAGCGUUUAGAGGAAGUAAAAGUCGUAACA